rnacentral:rRNA from 1 species
AAUGAACGUUGGCGGCGUGGAUUAGGCAUGCAAGUCGAGCGAGAACCGUAGCAAUACGGGGACAGCGGCGAAAGGGAGAGGAAUACGCGGGUACCUACCCUCGGAUCUGGGAUAGCCACGGGAAACUGUGGGUAAUACCAGAUGAUGUCUUCGGACCAAAGGUGUGAUUCCGUCCGGGGAGGGGCCCACGUCCUAUUAGCUAGUUGGUGGGGUAACGGCCUACCAAGGCAAUGAUGGGUACGGGGCGUGAGAGCGUGCCCCCGCUCACUGGGACUGAGACACUGCCCAGACACCUACGGGUGGCUGCAGUCGAGGAUCUUCGGCAAUGGGCGCAAGCCUGACCGAGCGACGCCGCGUGCGGGAUGAAGGCCUUCGGGUUGUAAACCGCCGUCGGAGGGGAGGAAAUGCUUAGGGGUUCUCCCCUAGGUUUGACCUAUCCUCAGAGGAAGUACGGGCUAAGUUCGUGCCAGCAGCCGCGGUAACAC